rnacentral:lncRNA from 1 species
GGUCAACGUAUCUAUUUAGAAGUAUGAAUUUUAAUAUAGUUUCUAAUAUAAUUCUGAGAAAUACGUUCUGAAUGUCACAUUAAAAUUAACUUCAUCCAAGCGUUAUUAUUUAAAGCAUUUAUUUUGAGAUUUACUUAUUACUUUUGAAUUAAGCGAACAGCAUUUGCUAACCGAUCCGAUCCGUUAUCAAUAUAAGUCAAAGAGAGUAUGUUUAAGUAGAGUGAAUCAGCACAUUUGUAGCAUGUUGUUAGAUGGCUUGAGUUUAUUAAUAUAUAUUUAUUACCUUUGUCUUACCAAUCAAGCUACAAAAUCUUAAUUUCCUAUACAUGGUUUAAAUAGCGAAGAGAUGACAUGUUUUCUUUAUAUAAUACUCGUACAACAGGAUAAUAUAAAAUCUUGUUUUGAAAAUCUCUUUAGCUUAAGAGAUAUGUUAUAUAUUAAAUUAAGUCCUGGUAUCUAUGAUGAGUUUAUUUACAACCACUGGGUCGAUGCCACUGCUGGUGGAGAUUUAUUUCCACGAGGAUAUCACAAGCCUAGUAGUCAGCACUUAUUGUGCUGACAUGAAUUGUCAUUGAUGGCGUAUAUAUAAAAUUUAGUCCUGGUAUCUAUGAUGAGUUUAAUUCUUACAUUAAGCAUUGAUUGUGUUGUAAUUUCAAGGGUUAUUCCCUUUAUAAAUGCAUUCCAUAUCACAUUUAAGUCCCAUUAAUGUACAGACAUUCCAAAAAUUAAGGCUGACAUUUUUUAUUUGUGUUCAUAUGACAUUGUCAAACUGUGAUAGCAUUACUGUUUUAUCAUCACGCUUCUUCCCUAUCUGGCUUUGUUAUAAUUACCUGUAUGAAAUUUUGGGGAUAUGGGGAAAUUCGUGUAAUGGAAAUAAGUGUAUAUAAUAUAUCAAAAGCAUUGUGACAAAAUUGAACAUUUCAAAUUAUGUUUAAGGGAAUUUCAUUUGACAAUUUAAAUGACUAUAAAAGAUACCAGAUAUUUACUUUUCUUUUCUAAGAAAGAUUUGGAUACUACUUUAAUGGGAAAAUAUGAUUUGUGGUAAUAUCAAUAUUCUUAUGACCAACCCACCUGUCCCCCAAAACCAAAAGACUAAGUAUUAAUUGGUUUAAACUGACUACUUGUAUUUGAUAUGUAUAUAAUGUCUUUAUUAUGUUUAGUGGAUAAUUUCCAGCUUUUUCACAAAAUAUAAAAAGUAAAUUUUCAUAAUUUUCAUAACCUGUAGCAUUGUAAUUGAGUAAACUUUGUUGAUUAAACUAUGC